rnacentral:rRNA from 1 species
UAGGGAAUCUUCCACAAUGGGCGAAAGCUGAUGGAGCAACGCCGCGUGUGUGAUGAAGGGUUUCGGCUCGUAAAACACUGUUGUGAAGAGAAGAAUGACAUUGAGAGUAACUGUUCAAUGUGUGACGGUAUCUUACCCGAAAGGAACGGCUAAAUACGUGC